ACCUGAGUGGGAGACGCGGAUACGUCGGACAUAUCCCCGGUCACCGUGGUCCGGCGUGGAGUCAGUGGUGAGACCGACCCGAUCAAGG
rnacentral:ncRNA from 1 species